AACGUGCCCAGUCGUGGGGGAUAACGUAGCGAAAGUUACGCUAAUACCGCAUACGAUCUAUGGAUGAAAGCGGGGGAUCGCAAGACCUCGCGCGAUUGGAGCGGCCGAUAUCAGAUUAGGUAGUUGGUGAGGUAAAGGCUCACCAAGCCUUCGAUCUGUAGCUGGUCUGAGAGGAUGGCCAGCCACAUUGGGACUGAGAGACGGCCCAGACUCCUACGGGAGGCAGCAGUGGGGAAUCUUGCGCAAUGGCCGAAAGGCUGACGCAGCGACGCCGCGUGUGG
rnacentral:rRNA from 1 species